AUACUUACCUGGCGUAGAGGUUAACCGUGAUCACGAAGGCGGUUCCUCCGGAGUGAGGCUUGGCCAUUGCACCUCGGCUGAGUUGACCUCUGCCAGAGAGCGGAGAGCUCUAGAGCCACCAGCUCUCUUGUACGCAUACAGC